UACGAGUGCCCCAAGCGUUAUCCGGAAUCAUUGGGCGUAAAGGGUGUGUAGGUGGUUGUGUUAGUCUUCUGUCAAAUUCUUCGGCUUAACCGGGGGUCCGCAGAGGAAACGGCACAACUAGAGGAUGCGAGAGGUGAACGGAACUCAUGGAGUAGGGGUGAAAUCCGUUGAUAUCAUGGGGAACACCAAAUGCGAAGGCAGUUCACUGGCGCACUCCUGACACUGAGACACGAAAGCGUAGGUAGCGAAUGGG
rnacentral:rRNA from 1 species